AGCGAACGCUGGCGGCAGGCCUAACACAUGCAAGUCGAACGAACCUUUCGGGGUUAGUGGCGGACGGGUGAGUAACACGUGGGAACGUGCCUUUAGGUUCGGAAUAACUCAGGGAAACUUGUGCUAAUACCGAAUGUGCCCUUCGGGGGAAAGAUUUAUCGCCUUUAGAGCGGCCCGCGUCUGAUUAGCUAGUUGGUUGAGGUAAUGGCUCACCAAGGCGACGAUCAGUAGCUGGUCUGAGAGGAUGAUCAGCCACAUUGGGACUGAGACACGGCCCAAACUCCUACGGGAGGCAGCAGUGGGGAAUCUUGCGCAAUGGGCGAAAGCCUGACGCAGCCAUGCCGCGUGAAUGAUGAAGGUAUUAGGAUUGUAAAAUUCUUUCAACGGGGACGAUAAUGACGGUACCCGGAGAAGAAGCCCCGGCUAACUUCGUG
rnacentral:rRNA from 1 species